rnacentral:lncRNA from 1 species
UUGGCCGGGUGCGGUGACUCACGCCUGUAAUCCCAGCACUUUCGGAGGCUGAGACGGGCAGAUCAAGAUGUCAGGAGAUCGAGACCAUCCUGGCUAACACAGUGAAACCCUGUCUCUACUAAAAAUACAAAAAAUUAGCCGGGCGUGGUGGCGGACACCUGUAGUCGCAGCUACUCAGGAGGCUGAGGCAGGAGAAUGGCGUGAACCAGGGAGGCGGAGCUUGCGGUGAGCCGAGAUUGCACCACUGCACUCCAGCCUGGGUGAUAGAGCGAGAUUCCACCUCAAAAAAAAAAAAAAACACCAACAAAACGUGUUGUUUAUGUUAACAUACAGUGAGUUUAUUGUAGUUACUAUUGACUUGAUAAAUAUAUUUAGAUAAAUAUUUUUAAAUAUUCUCCAAUUUCUUUUGAAUUUGGUAAGUAUCAAUAACCAUUACCUACAUAAACAGAAGCUCUUGGGGUCCUGAAUGACUUUUAAAAAUCUUUAAUUCUAGCCGGGUGCGGUGGCUCACGCCUGUAAUCCCAGCACGUUGGGAGGCUGAGGUGGGCAGAUCACCUGAGGUCAGGAGUUCGAGACCAGCCUGGCCAACAUGGUGUAAUUUCUACUAAAAUUACAAAAUUAGCCGGGCGUGGUGGUGGACGCCUGUAAUACCAGCUACUCGGGAGGCCGAGGCAGGAGAGUCACUUGAACCUGGGAGGUGGAGGUUGUAGUGAGCCAAGAUCACGCCACUGCACUCCAGCCUGUGCAAAAAGCGUGAAACUCUGUCUCAAAACAAAUAAAAAUAAAAAAUAAAUAAAAUGUUUAAUGCUUAUGGGUACAUAAUUAUCUGUGUCUAUGGGGAACACGUGACGUGUUGAUCACACCAGGGUAAUUGGGGCCACUGUCACCUCGAGCCUUUAUCAUUUCCUUGUAUUAGGAGCAUUCCAGUCCACUUUUCAGUUAUUUAAAAAUAUGCAAUAAAUUCUUGUUAACAAUAGUCACCCUAUUGUGCUACCAAAUAUCUGAUCUUAUUCCUUCCAUGUAAUUAUGUUUGUACCUAUUAACCAUCCCCUCACCACCCCCCUACUCCCCACCGCCCUUCCCAGCCUCUGGGAAUAUCUCCAUCAUUCUAGUCUCCAUCUCCGUAAGUUCCACUGUUUUCCAGCUCCCACAUAUGAACUGAAUGAUCUCUAAGACUGGGAAAGAGCCCUGAGACCCCACAAGAACAGUUGCUCUGGGGCCACAGGGAGCGGCUGCAGGUUGCAGGGCAGAGCUGGAGACAAGGCCAUGGCUCAUGAAGAUGCCGACCUGGAGGCAGAGGCAGAGGACGUUGGGUGCCGCUGGGGCCAUGCAGAGCCAGGACCAUGGCUCUGGGAGACGGAGGUGGACAAGGCCAGGAGAUACUGAGCAGGCGGCCACAUGAUCCACAAGGGGCGGCAGAUGUGUUGCGACAGAAGCAGGGCCCCACGAUCCAGAGCCUCAUGGGGGAAGAAGUAAGAAAAGAAGGGUCAGCAGUGGGCAGAGACAGCGAGGGGCUGGCAGGAGGGCAGAGUGCACCCUCUGGAGGAGACCAGGCUCUGCCCAUUGGGCCACUCAAAGUCAUGGGUAGGGAGCGCAUCUUCCAGUGCCCAGGGUCUUGCUGUGAAAGUAAGUGGGGUCCAACUGAAGCCCUCUAACUCCAGGAGCUCACGCCAAGCCCCGUCCACUGACCAUGUCCACGCCUCACCCGUGUGCCCCCCGACCACAUCCAUGCAUUACCCAUGUGCCCCUCUGACCACAUCUGUGCCCCAUGGGGCCAGAAAACAGCUGCUGAUGCCCCAAAGCCCAGAGAAGUUCCUUGUGGCUUCAUUUUCCCUCGUCCCUAGGAGGCUGGAUCCAGGCCAGUUCUCCGUGGGCAGGAGGCUGCCCUCCCACCUGCUCCUCCACAGUCCUCAUUUUGGACAAUUGCAUUUUUAAAACUUUAAAUUAUUACAAGUAAUACACCCCAAACCACCCAGAAUGCUUGCCUUGCCCCAGUCGUGCUCCCUGACACGUGUGUGCAUGUACGUGAGCAUGGUGCAUAUGUGUGCAGGUCAUGGAUGUUCGUGUGCAUCUUUGCACUCUCUUCCGCCCCUGCUUCUUCCUUUACUGCCUAAGGCCCAUGUCAUGGGGACAGGAAUUUUGGCAUUUGACCUGGAAGCAUUUGCCCCACCUGGGCUUGGAGAGAGUUCUGGGCAGGCCCUCAAAGUUUGCAGGAGCCUCCAGAGGGCCUGAACAUAGCUUAGAUGCUGAGUGCAUUGCACACGCACCUAGAGCCAUACACACAAGCUCCAGGCCAUUGGCCCCGAGGCUGACCUCCCUCCCAGAAGGUGACGUCAACAACGCUGACUGUUGGGGCCACACACUGGAAACGGGCACGAGGGGGGCCACGCGCUGGACACGGGCACGAGGGGGGCCACGCGCUGGACACGGGCACGAGGGGGGCGGGCCCAGAUCAUGGGCACGAAGAGGGCCACAUGCUGGACAUCGGCACGAUGGGGCCAUGUGCUGGACACAGGCACAAUGGCAACCACGUGCUGGACAUGGGCACGAUGGGGGCAGGCCCAGAUCAUGGGCACAAUGGGGGUGAGCCCAGAUGGAAAGAAUGCCAGGCAUGGGCAUGUGGCGACCCCAGCCCUGGACGUGACACGCUCUCCCCACAAGGAAAGAGACGCACAGGCCUCGCUGGGCGGAGUUGUCCAAGUGCCAGACACACGUGUCCCGGCAGCUGGCACUGGCUUGGCACAGACCCGGCUCCCGGGGUCUGGCUUCUACAUGUGGAGCGGCAGGCACAGAUGCCAGCUCUGCACAGCAGCUGUGAGGGGAGGCCUGGCUGCCGCCUUCUGGGACCUAUGGCGGGGACGCUUUNNNNNNNNNNGACCUAUGGCGGGGACGCUUUUCCUGGAGCCUGGAAACCUUUCCAGAUCCUCCCUCCUCCCGCCACACUCCUCCUCCUCAGGCCCUCCCUCCUCCCUCUGCUUUCUCCAGCAGUCCCGAGCCCCACAGGGUCCUCUCAUCACUUAGCGCCAGGCCCGAGGCACCACCUGCACAAUCAGAGCAGUGGCCUCUCCCCAUGGCUUGUGCCAAAUCAGGGCAGACACAGCAUUGUCUGGGUGUGUGGGCCGGGGUCCUGUUGGCUGCAUUGUUCCCAGGGUCUCCAAGCCUCCAUUUAGACCCCAGAGAGUGAGCCAGCUGGUGCCACCAGCGGGAGGGACCCAGAGUUUCUGAGAAACCCAGAGGCUGGAGGCCCGUGUCCGAGCUGCAACAGCUCCCAAGGGAGAGAACCCUGGGACAUGGUGAGGCCCCACGUGAGCCAGGGAAGGCCUGGCCUCGAACAGCAGAAAACACAGAAGCGCCCGCCUAAUGGAGUUCCCGCAAAGUCGCGCUGUAUUCCAGCAGACGGGCCCACCAGCCCAAGGAAGUCACACGUGCGCCCCUCUGCGCUUGGCCCUGUUGGGUUUAUGCACCUCCUCCCAGAUGUCCUGCGGCUGGCACAGAUCUCUGGUGCGGGCAUCGCCUGGCUCUGCAGGAGGGCGGAGGAGGGGUGCCGGGGAGCAUGUGGCAUGUCUGGGUGUAGUGGUGGCAUUUUAGGAACCAGAGUCCAGGGCCCGGGCGGGACAGAUUUGGGGGUGUUUCGGGAGCAAGGUGGAUUCAUCCAUCCACACUGCCUCACCAAAAACAGAGGGUGCAUGAGGUGAGGACGAAGAUGGAAACGGGGAGAAAAUGGGGGGUGAGGGUGAGCCCGCAAGUAGGCAGGCCUUGAACCAUCUCACCACAGAACGUCCUCAGGGUGCCCCGGCCACGGGUCCAGGAGGAGCCACCUCCAGGGGAGGCUGGCUUUCCACAGGCCCUAGGUUCCUGGGGCUGGGAACCCAGACGACGGGACUGAGCCACUGAGGGGGACAGAAUCCAUUUGGUGGAGUGACAUGAAGCCCUGGAGAUAAAACCUGGUGGCUUUUUAAAAAUAACAUAAAAUAACGUAAAAAAUACACAUAACAUAAAAAUGACACUAGGGAGGAGAAAAACCAUACAGCCAUCUUGUAUACAAGGGGGUCACAUUCCCAGACCCCCAGGGAUGCCUGAACCCCACAUAUCCGAUGUGUCUUUGAUCUGACAGCAGAGGCAGCUCCUGGAGGACUCACGGGUGCGGAGCGUCCACAGCGUGGACUCGCUGGACAAACGGAGGAUCCCGUCCUGGGCGGAAAGGGCGGGAGGUGUCAGAGUUCAUCAAGCCGUGCAGAAUUUAAAGCUUAUGAAUUGUUUAGUUUUAGAAUUUUCCAUUUAAUAUUUUUGGAGCUCAGUUGACCAUGGAUAACUGAAACUGCAGAAAAAGGGAAACCCUCGGCCCGGCGCAGUGGCUCACGCCUGUCAUCGCAGCACUGUGGGAGGCUGAGGCAGGCAGAUCACCUGAGGUCAGGAGUUUGAAACCCGCCUAGCCAACGUGGAGAAACCCUGUCUCUACUAAAAGUAAAAAAAAAUUAGCUGGGCGUGGUGGUGCAUGCCUGUGAUCCCAGCUACUCGGGAGGCUGAGGCAGGAAAAUCACUUGAACCUGGGAGGCCAAGAUUGCA